AACGAACGCUGGCGGCAGGCCUAACACAUGCAAGUCGAGCGAGGACUUCGGUCCUAGCGGCGGACGGGUGAGUAACGCGUGGGAACGUGCCCUUUGCUUCGGAAUAGCCCUGGGAAACUGGGAGUAAUACCGGAUGAGCCCUUUGGGGGAAAGAUUUAUCGGCGAAGGAUCGGCCCGCGUUGGAUUAGGUAGUUGGUGGGGUAAUGGCCUACCAAGCCGACGAUCCAUAGCUGGUUUGAGAGGAUGAUCAGCCACACUGGGACUGAGACACGGCCCAGACUCCUACGGGAGGCAGCAGUGGGGAAUCUUAGACAAUGGGGGAAACCCUGAUCUAGCCAGGCCGCGUGAGCGAUGAAGGCCUUAGGGUUGUAAGGCUCUUUCAGCUGGGAAGAAAUGACGGUACCAGCAGAAGAAGCCCCGGCUAACUCCGUG
rnacentral:rRNA from 1 species